GUGAGGAAUAUUGGACAAUGGGCGCAAGCCUGAUCCAGCCAUGCCGCGUGCAGGAAGAAGCAUCUAUGGUGUGUAAACUGCUUUUGUACGGGAAGACACCCUCCUUCGUGAAGGAGCUUGACGGUACUGUAAGCAUAAGGAUCGGCUAACCCCGUGCCAGCAGCCGCGGUAAUACGGAGGAUCCAAGCGUUAUCCGGAAUCAUUGGGUUUAAAGGGUCCGUAGGCGGUUUGGUAAGUCAGUGGUGAAAGCCCGCAGUUAAACUGUGGAAGUGCCAUUGAUACUGCCAAACUUAAAUUACAAAGAAGUAACUAGAAGAUGUAGUGUAGCGGUGAAAUGCUUAGAGAGGACAUGGAAUACCAAUUGCGAAAGCAGGUUACUACUGGUGGAUUGACGCUGAUGGACGAAAGCGUGGGGAGCGAACAGGAUUAGAUACCCCAGUAGUCC
rnacentral:rRNA from 1 species